UUAAUCUAACUUGUGGACAAUAGAACAAUUAUAUACUUAAGCAAAAAUAAAAAUUACAAAAAUGCCCCUAUGAGUCUAACUCUAGCCCAUCUUCUUCCUUCCUCCAUUUUCUUUCUCUGGCAAAUUUUUUUUGAAGUGUUCACACAUGAAAUCAAACACUUCAAUUCAAUACUACAACGCUCAUGUCAGAAAUCUUCUUCAUUAGUCAAUAAAGCUUGCCACAAUAUCUCACAAAAUCUGGAAGAAGCCUCAAAGUUUGAAUUCUCAAUCUUCCUCCAUUAAUGUUUCUUGACCCAAGUUCUUUUUUUCAAAGGUUAAACUGAUCAACAGUAGGAGCAUAGCUUCCAAUAAUUUCUAUAAAUACCGAUUGAUUUCCAAGAUUUGCCAACACAAACAAAACCAAAAAUCAGAACUUUGUUAACCAAAAAUACCACAAAAUACAACUUCCUUGUUCCCUCUGUUUUUGGGCGAGCUCCACCGCGCCACCACCAACGACCACCCUCGCUCACACCUUCCUCUCUCGCUCACCUCACGCUGUAUCUUCCCUUUCUCUGUCGUUGCUGCCACCGCAGAACAUUUCCGGCGAUGCAGCCACGCUGCAACCACGCCGCAACAACCCCUCCGCCAGCCCAGCCACCUUUCUUUCUCUCGCAGCACCCUACUCUCUCCGCGAACCACCUUCGACGAACCAACCUGACACCUUCAAACUCGCCGCUGCAGCCUCCAUUUCCGGCGAAGCUUCUCGUCGCCCUUCGCCCCUUCCUUUGUUUCUGCCGCAAGAUUAAGGAAAAAGGGAUAUUACAAGCCUCCCCCGGCUAUCAAAGUUACUAAGCAGGAUUUGAGGUAAUGACGGGGAUGACGGAAUGGCGUAGCAGUGAGGAAUAAUUACUACUUAAAUUAUGCAGACUCUUACUAUUAUGUAUUCUAAGCUUAAGAACAUAAAUUUGUGAACCUUAACUAUAUUUCACCUAGUUAUUUAUGCAUUUCUAAGUUAGUUAUGAAGUUUAAUAUUUAUAAAGUUACGUACUUUAACGAACUUAUGUUGCCUUGUAUUUUCCAAAAGGAAAGUACGGCAGUAACGCACCGACUAAGUUAAGUCUUCCGCUGCUAAUUAAGAGUUAAUUAAUGAACUAACGAUGCUUAGAAGUCGGGGCGUUACAAUUAGUAAAUUAAAAAUGAUUAAAGUUAAUAUUUAAAUAGUGUAAAAAGUCAAUAUAAUGCAUGGAUUAAAAAAUCGAGAAAGUAUAUAAUAAUGAUAAUAAUAUUAAGGAAGAAAAUAUAUUUCACAAACUUAGAUGUGAUCAACUGGUAGAGUCGAGUUUUAACAAAAUAUAAAAAGAGCUUGUACUAACUACUAAGCUUGUUAGCUAUACAAAUUUUAGGUGCUUCUAGAGCACCUAAAACUAUAUUUAUGUGCUUUCAGGCACCAUUUUUUUUCCACAUUUGUUACAUAAAUGAGCAAAUGUAAAAUGUAAAAGUUUAAGAUAUGCAAAAAAUAUGUGAGGGAGUACAUAAAUAUAGUUAUAGUCGUCUAGAUGAUCUUGUAGCACUAUGAGUUUGGUUCAUAUAUAGUGGUAUGUCUUUGGAAUCAGGAACGAAAUCAUGGUGGUAUAGGUUUGAAACUUGAUACCUAAUACUAUGGCUAUGUUUAGUUCACCUGAAAUUUUCUGAUCUGAACUUAUCUGAUCUGAUCUGAACUUAUUUUUUCUGAUCUGAUCUGAUCUGAACUGAUCUGAUUACAAGAUCAAUUUUUUUAGAUUUUUCUCAAUAUAUAAGAAAAAAUAUAGUCAUGUGGGGUCUUGUUUGAUUCUUCUCAAUGAGUACUUUAUUAAUAUUCAAUUAUUAUAAUUUUUACUAAUAUGUUAUGAAAGAUAUAAUGAUUUUUAAAUAUAAGCAAAAUCUGAACUGAUCUGAUCUGAACUUAUUUUUUCUGAUCUGAUCUGAUCUGAUCUGAUUAGAUCUGAAAUAAGCAAAAAUAAGGUGAACUGAACAUAGCCUAUGUGUUUGGUUUUAUUUGAGGUUGGAAUUUUUUCUUCUAUUUAAUACCUGGAGGUAUUAGUAUGAGCCAAACCCACCUCCCCCAUUGGAUUUCUAAACCCCAGACCUUAUGGGUUUGAUGUAUGAGUUUUAAAUCUAUCAAAUUAUUAAACAAACACUAGGUAUAAGUUUUGCUCAUUCUAAACUCAUAUCUCAUACCAAAAUCAUAUGAACCAAAAACUCCCUAAGUUGGUUACGCCAUACAGUGUUUUUGGAGCCUAGACAAACAUACGCCGAACUCUAGGCUAGAAUCAGGCUCAAAUAAGGUUAGGUUGGGCCAAAAUAGAUCAACUUUAAUAAAUUACAAGAAAAAAUAAUAUGCAUAAUUAGAGGUGGCAAACGGGUUAUACGGGUCGAAUUGUGUCAUAAAUGGAUCAACUUUGUGUCCAAGUUUUGGCCGGGUCGGGUCCGUCCGGGUAUGAGCCCACCUCGGUCCCAUAAAAUUUCGGGUCAUAUCGGAUCGGGUUUAAAUCGGGAUUUCAAUCUCGCAAAUAGAUAAAACACAUAUAAGACUAACAAGAGUAAUUUAGAAAGUGACUAAAUCAUAUACAGUUUUUUAUAACGAUUUUUUCCUUAAAUUUGUUUAAAAAGUAACUAAUAUAACAACUUUUCAGAUCAUCUCCGGAUCAUCAUUGUCGGGUCAAUUUCGGAUCGGGUAGAUUCGGGUUCAUGUCACAUUCGAGUCUAUUUUUACUUUCAGGUUAGGGUCGGUGUCAAAUUAUUCAUGUUUCGAUUCUGUUUUGGGUCACUAUUUCCGGAUGGAAACGGGUCUCGUGUUGGGUCAGCAGGUGCAAGUCUUUUUUUUUUUUUUUUGACAAUUGGGAAAUUUGCAUAAAUAAACGAGAAAGUUUACACACAACUUGGAUUAUUAGUGACCCUUACAAUACUUAGAGGCGAAAUUAAAAACAAAUUACAAGACAUUAAGUAGGCAGGAUUAGGGGUGAGCAGAAAUUCCGAAUCUGAUCUGGAUCUGGGUCCAAGAAAAUGGACCAAGUUGCAUCUGGUUCCAAUUCUAGGUAGAAUUUUGUCGGACCCGGUACUUGGUGGGUACCAGGUUCCGCUCUGGGUACGUGGUUGGAGCGGGUUUAGGUCCGGAUACCCGGUGCUUAGAAUUGGUUUUUUUUUUCAUAUACUCGUAUAGAAUUGGUAAUAGGAUAAUAGUUGUUAAGUAAAAAGUUAGUACUUAGUAGGUUUCUAGGCCCAUUUAAUUUUUGAAAAAUUUUUAUAGCUCAAUUGGCCCAUCUUUAGUAUGUUGUUAAACUUACAAAUAGGUACCCAGUCAGGACCCGGUUAGACCAAUUCCAGAUUUUUAAUACCCAUUGGGUCCGAGUAUGGGUCCGGGUCUAUGAAAUUUUACCGGGUACCCAGUUGUGCUCACUCCUAGGCAGGAUACACCCUUUUAUUGGACCAUUGAUUGUUGGGAUGGCUCUGUUUGCCGGCUAUAUGCAUAAUUCUAUUUUUAUUUUUAUUUUUUUGAUUGGGAAAUUAAGUCAGCCCAAGGGCUAACUCCUACCAAGGCUACUAGCACAUUAACUAGUAAAGCAUGCAAAACAUGUUAAGAAAAUACCCCAACAUAAUACUGGGGGGUAAGGAUCGAACCCCUGACCUUAUAGAUCAGAGGGGAGUGCUCUACCACAUGAGCUAGCUCCUCAUCCUUAUAUGCAUAAUUCUAUAAUACCCACUCUGUCGUAUAUAGGAAAUUAGUCUCCUUCACUCAAGGAAAUCCCGUAUUACAUGCAUAAUUGCAUAUUAUUAUCCAUUAGAAGUUAGAACAACUAGUUUUAUAUUAGAUUGAGAAAACAAAAUCUAUUACAAUUGUCUUUGGGGGUAACCAUUAGAUUCUCGUUAUUCUCAGCAGAAUUUUAGCUACUACCUAUAUUUAAAAGCGUGAUUACCUCCAUAUUUACAGAGCUUUUCCUAAGUACAAUAUAUUUGCAAAUUUUUGUCAUUCAUUGUAAAAGGCGAAAUUUAAGCACUGCAAGAAGGAAAAAAAAAAGGGAGGAAAAGAAAACGGGGACAUAAUGCAGGCGAUAAAAGAAAAAAUACAAGAAAUAAGUUCCAUGCGCAAAGCAAAAUCUGAGGCCAAGGAACAAGAGAAGGAAGAAAAAGAGAUAGCAGAUGUUAGAAAGGGUAUUGCGAAAGAGGUAAGGAAGGCCAAAGAGGCUGAAGCAGCUGUGGAAAUACAUACUGCCAAAGCAGACGAGUUAGCCAAAAAGGAGAUAGCUAAGAAUUUAGCUAACCAACACCACCACUAAUAAUGAAUAUUAUGCCAUUAGUUGGACAUAGUCUUAAAAAAAGAUGAAUACACCCUUCAAAAACAUUGGGGGAUAAAUAGGUUAUGUUGCAAUAUGCUCCAUCUUUUAUUGAAUUGAGGAUAUUCAAAUUUAUAUCCUCCUUAAGAAUGUUAAUUUACUAGAUCAUAGCAAUAGAUUCUUGUUAAUUACAUGUUCCACAAUGGAUUGCAUACAAUGGGUGUAUACUAUAAUUCUAUACAAUGAGUUUUGGUCCCUCUAAA